CUGGUUGACUAUGCCAUAUUCUUGUCCCAAAGAUUAAGCCAUGCAAGUCUUAGUACACACGGCCGGUACAGUGAAAAUGUGAAUGGCUCAUUAAAUCAGUUAAGGUUACUUUGAUAACUGUGUCAAUUCUAGUGCUAAGAUAUGCCAACAAUUGUUGACCUUCGGGGACAUGCAUUUAUCAGACCCAAAACCCAUAUAGGGUGACCCUUCGUGGCACUGGCAUAUCAUUUGAAUGUGUGCCCCAUCAAAUUCCGAUGGUAGUUUCUGUGCCUACCAUGGUGACCAUGGGUAACGGGGAAUCAGGGUUUGAUUCUGGAGAGGGAGCCUGAGAUACGGCUACCACAUCCAAGGAAGGCAGCAGGAACGCAAAUGGUCCACUUCCGAUUCGGGAAGUCCCUGUAAUUGGAAUGAGUACACUUCAAAUUCUUUAAUGAGGAUCCAUUACUGAUGUUUAGAACUGAUGUUUAGAAGCAUUUUUAUAGUGGUAUGAAAU
rnacentral:ncRNA from 1 species